UGUGAGUGGUGUUUGGGACGUGAGUGUUGGCAGGCUCCGUGCCUUGUGCAUCGAACUGUCGACCCUCACACCGCUUCAAUCUAAUCCCCCCCGGUCGUUGCGCCGGGGGGGUGCAAUCGGGAUCCUGUGCUGCUUACCAGUAACGAUGGAAAUCGGAUGUCGCUUUGUCCCUCAUCCGUCGCGCGCCCUUAGGGGCUGCGCGGCGGGCUUCGUUCAUGCCCGGUGUUCCGAGUGCGACCCCGAAUUCGAUGUGGCCGCCUCGGUGCACCGGGGCUUGAUCGUGCUUAAGGAUGCGGAAAGCUUUGUGGGCGUAGGGCCGCGGACCCUUUCGUUUGAUGCGAUGCGUUUUGUCCCUCGAUACGUACGACGCUCGUGCAUCGUCUUGGACUCUUCGUUGCCCACGCGGCUCGUUGAGGCCCAUGCGGUGCCGACGUCGCG
rnacentral:misc_RNA from 1 species